rnacentral:rRNA from 1 species
UCGGCUGCGGAUCCGGAUGCGGCGCAUUAGCUAGUCGGCGGGGUAACGGCCCACCGAGGCGACGAUGCGUAGGGGUUCUGAGAGGAAGGUCCCCCACACUGGUACUGAGACACGGACCAGACUCCUACGGGAGGCAGCAGUGAGGAAUAUUGGUCAAUGGCCGGGAGGCUGAACCAGCCAAGUCGCGUGAGGGAAGACGGCCCUACGGGUUGUAAACCUCUUUUGUCAGGGAGCAAGAGGCGGGUCGAGACCUGCUGUGAGAGUACCUGAAGAAAAAGCAUCGGCUAACUCCGUGCCAGCAGCCGCGGUAAUACGGAGGAUGCGAGCGUUAUCCGGAUUUAUUGGGUUUAAAGGGUGCGCAGGCGGAGGCACAAGUCAGCGGUAAAAUCGCGGGGCUCAACCCCGCUCCGCCGUUGAAACUGUGUCCCUUGAGUGCGCGAAGGGUAGGCGGAAUGCGUGGUGUAGCGGUGAAAUGCAUAGAUAUCACGCAGAACUCCGAUCGCGAAGGCAGCCUACCGGCGCGCAACUGACGCUCAUGCACGAAAGCGUGGGUAUCGAACAGGAUUAGAUACCCUGGUAGUCCACGCAGUAAACGAUGAAUGCUAUCUGUCCGGCCGGAAUGACGGCUGG